UACGUAGGGGGCAAGCGUUGUCCGGAUUUAUUGGGCGUAAAGAGCGUGUAGGCGGUUAGGUAGGUCCGUUGUGAAAACUCGAGGCUCAACCUCGAGACGCCGAUGGAAACCAUCUAACUAGAGUCCGGAAGAGGAGAAUGGAAUUCCUGGUGUAGCGGUGAAAUGCGCAGAUAUCGGGAAGAACACCCGUGGCUAAGGCGGUUCUCUGGGACGGUACUGACGCUGAGACGCGAAAGCGUGGGGAGCGAACAGG
rnacentral:rRNA from 1 species